GCGGGGGUCGCAUAGUCUGGCCAUUGCGUUGGAUUGCUAAUCCAAUGGGAUUAAUCCCACGGGGGUUCAAAUCCCCCUCCCCGCGCCA
rnacentral:tRNA from 1 species